GUCGAGUUAUUUAAAUCAGUUCAGCAUGCCUUCCAGCCUGAGAGACACAAAAGCAAUAUAACCAGAGCUUCCUUUUGCAGUCUGUCCUCGGAGAGUCCUAUCCAGAGCAGAUCAUGCUGAUACAACCUGACAACACCUAGGGAUAAAGGGAAGGCUCACACCAGACGCAGCCUAAUACUAGGUAGUAUUAUAAGAGGGCAACCAGAGAUCAAAGAAACGUUUUCUUUUCUUUCCUACUACCAGUUACUCUGUAAAAUGAACAGACCCCCAGCCUCAUCAGAGCAAUGAAGCAGCUGAUCCUUGCAACCCUGUCACAGGCAGGACCCUGAUCAUUCUUCAAUAAAAUAUGGGUUGCUUGGCUUUCUUGGAGACUUAAACAUCUCUGUGAUGGACCAGUUCACCUUUAAUAAGGAUGAGAACGGAUCUCCUAACUGACUGAGCAUCAUCAGGCACCUGACAAGUCUUAUGAACACUUUCAAGAGCCAGGCACAAGAGCUCAAGCACUUACUCAUUUAUUGCUUUGAUAUUAAAAGCAGAGAGUCACAGAUAUUAAAAACAGAAAGUUACAGAGUACAGGGGAGAUAGGAUCAGUUCUGUGUACAGAAAUUGCCUAGCUUCAUGUUCUACAUGGUGCUUCAGAUUACAAAAAAAAAAAAA